GGGUGUGUGGCGCAACUUGGAUAGCGCAUUGGCUUGCGGAGCCAGAGGUUGCGGGUUCGAAUCCCGUCACACCCG
rnacentral:tRNA from 1 species